ensembl:piRNA 21ur-751 ncRNA
UUUGGUGUAGUUUGAAAGUAG